UACGGCCACAGGACGUUGAAACAACGGUUCCCGUACAAUCACCGAAGUUAAGCAACUUCGAGCCUGGCAAGUACUUGGUCGAGUGACCGCUUCGGAACACCAGGUACUGUAAG